UGGGGAAUUUUGGACAAUGGGCGCAAGCCUGAUCCAGCCAUGCCGCGUGCAGGAUGAAGGCCUUCGGGUUGUAAACUGCUUUUGUCAGGGAAGAAACGAGUUUCUCUAAUACAGAAACUUAAUGACGGUACCUGAAGAAUAAGCACCGGCUAACUACGUGCCAGCAGCCGCGGUAAUACGUAGGGUGCGAGCGUUAAUCGGAAUUACUGGGCGUAAAGCGUGCGCAGGCGGUUAUAUAAGACAGAUGUGAAAUCCCCGGGCUCAACCUGGGACCUGCAUUUGUGACUGUAUAGCUAGAGUACGGUAGAGGGGGAUGGAAUUCCGCGUGUAGCAGUGAAAUGCGUAGAUAUGCGGAGGAACACCGAUGGCGAAGGCAAUCCCCUGGACCUGUACUGACGCUCAUGCACGAAAGCGUGGGGAGCAAACA
rnacentral:rRNA from 1 species